rnacentral:pre_miRNA from 14 species
CCUGCUCUGCCACGCUGCCUGCCCACGGGCGUCUUACCAGACACGGUUAGAUCUGGGUCCUGCCGUCUAAUACUGUCUGGUAACCCGUCCGUCCGCCGGACCCUCGCCACGCCGCCCG